rnacentral:tRNA from 1 species
AGUUGCUCAAUACAAUCACUGCCACAUUCAGUUGGUAGAGCAUGAUCCGCGCUUGCCAAGGCUGGGGUCGCGAGUUCGAGUCUCGUUUCCCGCUCCA